UGCACCCAUCAACCGUCAUCUACAUUAGGUAUUUCUCCUUCUAACUGUAACUACGGGACCCACGUGCUGAGAACCACUGCAUUAAGAUAAACUAGAAGAUUUGGUGCCCAGCAUGAAGAAUAGUUCCUUUCAAGUACCUGUAUGUCCUGAAUGUAUUCCUUCCAGUGGGUUCUUGGUCUCGCUGACUUCAAGAAUGAAGCCUUGGACCCUCGUGAUAUGUGCUCACCCUUCUCUGCUCAGCUCUGUGCCUGGGAGGCUGACCUCUACAAACUGCAUCACCAGGCUUCCGCCCUCUGGCUUCCAGAUGGAUUUGGCCAAUGGGCAGCACCAGUGGGAAAGGAGAGGACAGGAGGAGAGACAGGCUGAGGCCUCCCUCCUCCUGUGUCCCUGACAUACAGUGACAGUGCUGCCCUGCAGCUCAGGAUGGAUGCAGUCAAGGACGACAGCGCAUGUCCAAAAAAGCUGUCUGCUGAACAUUUGCCCAGCAGAUUUUAGAAAGAAAGGAAACAUCUUAGUGAUUUUCUUGCCUCCAGAAGAUUCCCUGAUCCAAUCUUUCCUUGGCACAAACUUUUAGUUAUUGUGUUUACAUAUACAUUUUAUAUAUGUGUGGUCAUUAUUGUAUCUGUUUUAUUUGGGGACUUUAUCUUGAUGUGUGUUAUACCUAAUACACUGCAAUAUAAAUUAUGUAAUUAUGUGCUUUUUUUUUUUGAGAUGGAGUCUCGUUCUGUCACCCAUGCUGGAGUGCAGUGGUGUGAUCUCGGCUCACUGCAACCUCCACCUUCUGGGUUCAAGUGAUUCUGCUGCUUCUGCGUCUCAAGUAGCUGGGACUACAGGCGCCUGCCACCACACUCAGCUAAUUUUUUUUUUUUUUUUUUAAGUAGAGGUGGGGCUUCACCAUGUUGGCCAGGCUGCUUUCGAACUCCUGACGUCAGGUGAUCCACCCACCUCAGCCUCACAAAGUCCUGGAUUACAGGCAUGAGCCACCACACCCGCCCUGUGCUUUCAAUAAGUACUUUCUCACUGCUUACUGACUGAUACCCCUAGCUUUUGUAUCAUGAGGAAAAAGAGGCAUAAGAGAAUGAAUCCCUGGCCCCAGUAUCAGUCAGGAUUUAAUCAGAAAACAGAAGUCAUGCUAGGUUUUUGAUGAGUUGGAGAGAGUUGAAAGAGGAAUUAAGGCUUGCACAACCAUUAGAAGGGCUGGGUAAGGAAAGGUCAGACGGUUGCUCUUAGGGCAUCUGAAAUGCAGAGAUCUCAAGAGAAAUUGGGGCUUCUGUUGUGAUCAAGUUGCCCAUAGCAGGUGCUUCUCAGCAGGACCCUGAGAAGCUGAGGCUCUGAGUAACCGCCUGUAGCUGGCACUAAAGAAAAAUGGCUUCUCCUUUUCUGCCUCAGAUGUUUCACGGGGGUGCCUCUCACUGGACAAAUGUAACCUCGAGGCACAUAGGAAAAGAACUGGGUAGUGAGGUUUCUGGUUUUCCUCCAAGAUGGAGAAGAGUGGAGGGCUGGGGAGCAUGAGUCACAAUGAAGUUGAACUAUCAACAGACCACCCAGAAACAAAACCUCCCAUAUAUUAAUGAAAAAUAAAAAAAGCAAACAGCAAUUGAUAAACAAAUGUAUUUAAGUUAUACCAAGGGCAAGAUUGCUCUGUCAAAAAGCAUUUGAUAAUCAGUUAAUUGGUGAGUGUCUGCUAUGCAGAAUUAGAGGCAGUUAUUUUUUUGUUUGUUUGUUUUUGUUUUAGAUUAUUUCUUGCUCAAAACUCACUCAGGUUCCUGGGCUAUAAUACUUGAGCCAGACAGAGCAGCUUUGAUCUCACUGGCAGUUUGUUUAGAAGCCUGAGAUCUGGAGUGGCUUUCUAAAAUCUUCAGCUCUAAAAACCAAUACAGUUUAGUAAAAAUCUAUACAUUUGCUUGCAAUAGUCUCAAGUACAUAGUAAAAUGACAGAAAUGAUUUCAACCAAGAAAUUAGCCAUUUUCUUCCUCUUGAUUUAAGAAGGGAGAAAUAGCUUUGGAGGGAAGUGGCAAUAUUUCUAAAUUUACACACAAAUUCACACCGACAGUAUGCUCCUAAUGGUUGCCACAUUUAGAGCUAACCUGGUUUUCUGAGAUUGAUCUGGGAUGGAAGGAGAAAGAACAGCUAACUGACCGGAAGCUAAACGCCACAAGGCAAAGCCUCUUUGUUAGAAGCUGAAGAUUAUCAUAUUUCUAGGGGAGGCUGGAUGCUUUGGUUAAGAGAGACCUAGUUAUGAAUCCAGCCUUCUAAAGACCUCCAGGGAGAACUCUGCAAGUCUCCUCAGGGCAGGGGUUCUGGGAGUUUCUAGGUUCUUGCAAUUCCUGCAAGCAAACACAUCAACACACAAAAAAGCACUGGGAAUUCAGAGUCCCAGAGAAGGACAUUUGGGUACAUCCCUCAAGGUUAAAAUUUGCUGGAAACUUUGAUAAGAUAUUUGGAUGUGGAGAAGACUGGGGAAGUGUUAAGUAAAGGAAUAUGAAGUUGGGAGUCAAUUAUUCAUUAUUUUCCCUAUUCCUCUCACCCAUUAGCAUCAAUAAUUGAAAAAGAACCAUCCAUGUGUGUAUGGGGAAGGCAGUAGGCUUAGAGGCUGCUAAUAACAAUUUAGUAAAUGAGGCCAAAAAUGGGGCUCUGCAGGCAACAAGCUUGACUGGGUAGAGCCAGGCCACCUCAAAGCUGAGGCUUUAACCACCAUGGCCUGCCAUCUGCAGCACAUGACUCACUGCAUCUUUAAGCAAGACUUUGCCCAAAUAAGUACCUUCCACUUUGGUUCUAUAUUGCUGCCACCAGUGUAACUACUCUGCUGCCUUUCCUAGGGGUGGGGACAAGCUACCUCCUUGAGUUUGAGGCUUGAGCCUACCUUUGUACCUGUGGUCCUUAAGAGGUGCUGUCCUUCUCAUUUAGCUCAUACAAAGUGACUCGGGCAUCCUGCAGCAUCCCUGUACAGGUAUCAGCCCAGUCCACACUGCUAAUUGCACCCAUUUUCUUCAAAGUCCAUCUGUUUACUUAAGCAUGUUGGUGCUCAUGCUCAAUGUGCAAGGUAAUAUAGAUUGAUAUGGAUUCUUUGGGAUUUUUAGUUAAGUGGUUUCUGCUUGUGACAUUCUUUCCUUUUUUCUUUCUUUCUUUCUUUUUUUUGAGACGGAGUCUCUGUCGCCAGGCUGGAGUGCAGUGGCAUGAUCUCAGCUAGGCUCACUGCAACCUCCGUCUCCCGGGUUCAAGCAAUUCUCCUGCCUCAGCCUCCCAUGUAGCUGGGAUUACAGGCGCAUGCCACCAUGCCCAGCUAGUUUUUUUGUAUUUUUUUUUUAGUAGAGACGGGGUUUCACCAUAUUGGUCAGGCUGGUCUUGAACUCCUGACCUUGUGAUCUGCCCGCCUCGGCCUCCCAAAGUGCUGGGAUUACAGGCAUGAGCCACCACGCCUGACCUGCUUGUGACAUUAUUUUCUGCCUUUUAAAUACAAAUAGAAGUAUACAAAAGCAUAUACCUCAGUGCUUCAGGGAGAAAAGUGUGUUAGAUAAAUAGACUACCUGUAAGGAAGACUUAGUAUAAUGACAAGCAUGACUGCUUGGUAUAUUCAGAAUUUUGAUGUGUGACAAAUAAUGUGUGUCAUUCUUUGAAAUAUAAAUGUUAGAGCUUCUUAUGUUAAAAGAAGCCAUCCUAACCAAAUAAUACUCUAGGCUUUCAGUGUACCUAUAAACAUGUUCAUCUGGUGGGAAUUAAGAGAUAUGCCAAAAAACAGAUUUGAAUUUGAGCAAAAGAAUAGCAAUACAUUAACUGCUAUAUUAUAGAGUUUGUAAAGAUUGCUAUAGUGAUUAUCAGUGCUUCACGGUGUCAUUAUUGGCUUCACUAUUAAAGAUAUUGCUGUGAAAAUGAAAAUU
rnacentral:lncRNA from 1 species